CCUUCCUGGCAGUGGCACGAGGGGAAGAAGAGCAUAGCUGAGCUGUUGUGUUGAGGGCAUGUGCGACAAUGCCCUUUUCACCCUGCAGGCUCACACCA